CUGCCAUUUAAAGUUCCUUUGAAUAACCCACAAUCAAGUUCAGAUGUUCUCGUAGGCUUUAUAUAAAUAUAUAUACAUCGAGAAAUAAUGUCAAACGAAUAAAAUAUUU